UAAAAAUAUAAAAAAAAUAAAAAAUUAUUGUAUAUGCAUCUGUCGUGCAUGGUCAUUUGUAAUAAAGUAGGUGAGCGGGAGAGCAUAUCAAUUAGAGCGAGUGAGAAUGAUGGCCAGGCCACAAUAUUGGAGAUAAAAGAGCUGCAUGCAGUUAACAGAGACGCAGCAGCACAACGUCAGCGUUUGAAUUAACUAUAUGUAAAAAAGGACGAAAGCGGUAUUACUCAUUUGCAACAGCAUUAUGUUGUUAUAUGCGUUGCAUUAAGCUUUCUCUCUGCAGCAGCAGCAGCAGCAAUCUUAGAGGAAUGGAAGGAGAAGGAGAAACAUGCAUUUAAGGUGCAUAUUUUUAUAGGGCUUCAAAAUCAGUUAUUUGCCGUGUGUUCUUUUUGUAAUUGGGUUGAUUUUUAUAUUUGGACGGUUUCACUCAUGCAUCAAGUCGCAGGGGAUAGGCCGAUAUUUCAAUAGAGUCCAUGCCAUCCAUAAACGGCAAUCGCGCCUUAUUUUAACGCAUUUGAGCCUACAUCCCGAAUUGAGUAGCUCUGCGUGCAACUACAUGUGAUUUGAGUGAGUUUGAGUGAAAUUAAAAUGCGCGGUGGUGCUGAGGUAGGAUUGCAAAUAAACGUGAGCACGUUGCUUGGUAGGAGAAAUGCCGAAAAAUUAAAAAAAAAGUAAGAG